CCUACGGGUGGCUGCAGUGAGGAAUAUUGGUCAAUGGGCGCGAGCCUGAACCAGCCAAGUCGCGUGAGGGAGGACGGCCCUACGGGUUGUAAACCUCUUUUGCCGGGGAGCAACGGGCGUCACGUGUGGCGCCACUGAGAGUACCCGGAGAAAAAGCAUCGGCUAACUCCGUGCCAGCAGCCGCGGUAAUACGGAGGAUGCGAGCGUUAUCCGGAUUUAUUGGGUUUAAAGGGUGCGCAGGCGGAUUUUUAAGUCAGCGGUCAAAUCGUGGGGCUCAACCCCAUCCAGCCGUUGAAACUGGGGAUCUAGAGUGUGCGAGAGGUAUGCGGAAUGCGUGGUGUAGCGGUGAAAUGCAUAGAUAUCACGCAGAACCCCGAUUGCGAAGGCAGCAUACCGGUGCACAACUGACGCUCAGGCACGAAAGCGUGGGUAUCGAACAGGAUUAGAUACCCGGGUAGUC
rnacentral:rRNA from 1 species